UUUUUGUAUUUUUAGUAGAGACAGGGUUUCACCAUGUUGGCCAGGCUGGUCUCGAACUCCUAACCUCAGGUGAUCUGCCUGCCUCGGCCUCCCAAAGUGCUGGGAUUACAGGCGUGAUGAGGCACACCCUGGUGGCUACAAGUCCUCCUUCAAAGAGGCUAAGAUGAUGAUCAGACCCAAGCACUUUAAGCCAUAAAUCACUCUGUUCAUUCCUCCAGGUAUUCGUUAUCUAAUAGGGCAAUUAAUUCCUUCAGCACUUUAGAAUAUGCCUUGUUUCAUAUUUUUCAUAGCUAAAAAAUGAUGUCUGACGGCUAGGUUCUUAUGCUACACAGCAUUUGAAAUAAAGCUGAAAAACAAUGCAUUUUAAAGGAGUCCUUUGUUGUUAUGCUGUUAUCCAAUGAACACUUGCAAGCAAUUAGCAAUAUUGAGAAUUAUACAUUAGAUUUACAAUUCUUUUAAUUUCUAUUGAAACUUUUUCUAUUGCUUGUAUUACUUGCUGUAUUUAAAAAAUAAUUGUUGGCUGGGUGUGGUAGCUCACGCCUGUAAUCCCAGCACUUUGGAAUGUCAAGGCAGGCAGAUCACUUGAGGUCAGGAGUUUGAGACCAGCCUGGCCAAACAUGUGAAACGCUGUCUCUAUUAAAAAUACAAAAAUUAGCCGGGCAUGGUGGUACAUGCCUGUAAUCCUAGCUACUUGGGAGGCUGAGGCAGGAGAAUCGCUUGAACCUGAGAGGAAGAGGUUGCAGUGAGCCAAGACUGAGCCACUGCACUCCAGCAUGGGUGACAGAGAAAACUCUGUCUCAAAC
rnacentral:lncRNA from 1 species